UUGUGAAUGACUGUGAAGAAAAUACGAACGAAGGACGAAGAGUUAGAAGGAAAUGUGAAAAAUUAAUUUUGGAAAUGUUAAUCGACUAAAAUGCAAGUAGGAUGUAUAAAACAGUACUUGUAAAAAAUGUAUAAUUGUAAAAAUGCAAUUUUUCACCGGAGAAUUUCAAUUUAUUUAUGGAGAAGUUGUUUUGAUCGAAGGUGCGAGGAAAACGAAAGCCAAGCCGGAGGUGAAACUUUUUCUUGAUAAUUCGACUUAAUGGGUGGAGAUUACUUGAGAUUCGAUUCGAGACUCGUCAGCGACAGAGAAUAAGAGAUUUCCUUUUUCUUCGGCUUCUUCUGCAGCUAUAACCAAUCGGACGUGUAACUUUGUUUGAAAAUAAAUUGAUAAACGAUGCGUGCAACACGACAUUGUAAUUUAUCAUGCUUUGCUGCUAUAUUAUUUAUUCGAUCGGAUACGCUGUUAUUUGGGGUUGAAUAAAGGUCGAAUAAAGGUCAAAAUUGUACUCCUUUUGUACUGCUUGCGUAAUAAAAAAUAGUUC
rnacentral:misc_RNA from 1 species